ACAGAGGAGGUAACUGGCUGCCUGCCCAUCAUGCCCAGCGCCCCCCUUUGGUGGGAAAAUGACCGCCUAUCCGUCUGAAUCAGUCUAUACCCUUCGGGGAGUAAUUAACCUGCAGUCCGUUGACUACAGACACCAAGGGCUCCUUAAGGCGCCAAGGCACUCACAGGACAACCAUCUCAUAACAAAUUCCAUCUACUCCCUGAUAAGACAACUCUAAGCAUGUUUUUGGUUUUGAAAAAGCUGUCUAAUGUGUGAGUCAAACGUGAACAUUCAAACCCAGGUUGAAUGGAAUAAUAGUUCCAGUGGAACUUCUGAAACAAUGCCUUACAGAAAUUGUUAAGAGCUAGCACACACUCAAGACAUCCAAGGCAAUCAUUAUAAUUUGUUUUGUUUUGGGCUGGAGAGAUGGCUC
rnacentral:sRNA from 1 species